GGGUCAGUAGGUUGGUCGUGCCACCGGUACGUACUGGUCUCACUGAUUCCUCCUUCCUGAAGAACCGUAAUGCCAUUAAUUUGGUGUUGCGGGGAAACAGGACUGUUACUUUGAAAAAAUUAGAGUGUUUAAAGCAAGCUAACGCUUGAAUACAUUAGCAAGGAAUAAUGAAAUAGGACGAUCGAUCCUAUUUUGUUGGUUUCUAGGAUUGACGUA
rnacentral:rRNA from 1 species